UUAAUAUCUGCAGUGCUGCUCGUGGCCAUGUCAAAACUAUACAUUUAAUGUGUUUGAUGGUUCAGGUUGAUGUGACCUUCUCCAAGACAUGGCAGAGAAUAGCAUGUCGAGAUAAAUGAUAGGUAACUAAUCCAGGUAACUACAUGACCAGAUACUAAUGAACGUAAAUGAUAGGGGAUUAACCAUUAAUAGGCGUACUAAUGACCAGUAACUAAAUGACCGAAAUGAUAACUUAAUGACCAGAUAAAUGAUAGGGGUAACUUAAUGACCAGAUAAAUGAUAGAGGUAACUAAUGACCAGAUAACUAAUGACCAGGUAACUAAUGACCAGAUAAAUGACAGAGGUAACUAAUGACCAGAUAAAUGACAGAUGAAUAAUGACCAGAUAAAUGAACAGAGGUAACUAAUGACCAGAUAAAUGAGCAGAGGUAACUAU
rnacentral:lncRNA from 1 species